rnacentral:rRNA from 1 species
AUUGAACGCUGGCGGCAGGCCUAACACAUGCAAGUCGAACGGUAGCACAGAGGAGCUUGCUCCUCGGGUGACGAGUGGCGGACGGGUGAGUAAUGUCUGGGGAUCUGCCCGAUAGAGGGGGAUAACCACUGGAAACGGUGGCUAAUACCGCAUAACGCCGCAAGGCCAAAGAGGGGGACCUUCGGGCCUCUCACUAUCGGAUGAACCAAGGUGGGAUAAGCUAGUAGGGGGGGGAAAGGCCCACCUAGGCGACGAUCCCUAGCUGGUCUGAGAGGAUGACCAGCCACACUGGAACUGAGACACGGUCCAGAGUCCUACGGGAGGCAGCAGUGGGGAAUAUUGCACAAUGGCGCAAGCCUGAUGCAGCCAUGCCGCGUGUAUGAAGAAGGCCUUCGGGUUGUAAAGUACUUUCAGCGGGGAGGAAGGCGAUGUGGUUAAUAACCGCAUUGAUUGACGUUACCCGCAGAAGAAGCACCGGCUAACUCCGUGCCAGCCGCCGCCGUAA